GCCACCGGAUGGCCUGGACGCUUCGACGGCGUGAGGCUGCGUGGGGCCGGCCGCCGCCGCCAGGGGGCAACCGCCGCCCGCGCUUCUGGUCUGAGUUCCCCGGUCGGUCUCGGUCGGGGACGCACGGACCUAGCGCUCUCCCGCUAAAGUGGUGUCGUUAAGCGGAGUCCUGAGCCCACCGGGCAGGCUCUGCGAUCAGCAGGGCAAAGGCUCGCCUGCCGUUCCCUGCACCCCCGCCCCCCACCGGGCCCCGGCCUUGGUCUCCAGACCCCUCCCGUACAGAGAACUGCCGAGAACUGCUGCGCUGACCUCCAGGUUCCCAAUCUGACAGCUGCAGGUCACCCUGCCUUCUCUGCAGCCCACUUGCCCGGACCCAUCUGCAUUACACUUGGGUUCUUCAAAGCCGUUUUUUCCAGCUCCUCCUUAAUCCUCUCCCUUUCCACCCAGUAUCUGCUCCCACUCCCUCCACAGCCCGAAAUCUGCUGCAGAUGAGCAGUUUCCGGAGGAGAUGCGAAUUUGGGUGGUUCUUUCUAGGCUGUGAAGUUCUUGGGGGAGGAGGGCAGGGAAUUCCCUUAGAGCAAAAUACUAGCAGCACUUUUAAGGGCAAAGAGCUCUUUUUAUUCCAUGGCCUUCGGGGAGCCUGGAGCCCGCUAGAGGCCCGGCUGGUGUGUGACGCUCAUUCACCAAGCUGGUCACUGACGAGACUGAGGAAGUCCUAGACGGAGCAAGAAUGGGCAGAGGCUGAAGGUAGAGGUUUUCUUUUUAUAUAUACAAGACACAUUAAUCCAUUAAAUUUGAGGACACAGUACAAAAAAAAAAAAAAACAAAACAAAACACUUCAACUAAUUCAUCUGACAAUGCUGUUCAUAUUCAUGACGCCAUUUUUUGUUGUUGUCUUGUUUCCUAAUAAUAAAGGAGGAGACUUAGGGCUGUUGGGCUGAUAUAUAUUUGGGGGUCCCCCCUCCCCACCUCAUCCAUACACCACCAGGGUGAACAGGAGGAGAAGGAAGGCAGGGCCCACAGCAAAGUUUCAUAAUCUUGAAUGCAAGGGGGGAGGAAGAGAGGAAAGGGGGGAGGGAAAGGAGAAAAUACAAAUCCUAUAAUACAUACAACAGAGUGGGGGGUGGGAUGGGAAUGGACAGACAUGAAGCUGAGGCAUGGGGUGGGCUGCUGGGGAGAGCACACGU